AUAGGUACAGUGUUGGUAGGACCUACGCCUGUCAACGUAGUUGGAAGAAAUAUAAUGACUAAKAUUGGUAGACCUCUAAAUUUUCCAAUUAGUCCUAUUGAAACUGWACCAGU
rfam:HIV-1 isolate 84A from Italy pol protein (pol) gene, partial cds.